ACAGAAACAGCUAGAAAGAACAGCGUCAUCACCCGCAUCUCCAUUACGACUUUAACUGGAAAGCAACGAUGCUAGCAGUCAAGGUCUUGGAGGCAUUUGUUAAUGUUCUCCACUAACGGCCAAUCCAGAAUGCUGUGAGACGUCUGUGUCUUUCAUCUGUACCAGUCUCUGGCACUUCCUUGCCUUCCCCUGGCCUCUUCUGAAGGAGACCAGGAAGCCAUUUUGUUGGACACCCUUGAUUUAGCUUUUCCUAAUUCUGUCUUAGUCAGAAUUACCAGGGUCACACAUUUAACAAGAGCAUCACAGAGUGAUGUGUCCCUCAGUGCACACACACAGACAAACAUGAUCAUCACUGCUUGUCUGUGACUUGAGAUGUAUACCUGGAGGUUUCUUGUGAUUAUUUUUCUCUAUGUAAACAAUGUUGUUUUAUGUUGUUAUUCAAUUAGUAAUUAACAAUUUGGACAUUCUUAUUAAAUGAGGCAAAUACUGUU